GACAUAAAAGCUGUGUUAGAUGCUGUUUCCUCAUUUGCUCUCUCACUAUUCCCUAUAUAGUGUUCAUUAAAUAGUGAACUAUAUAGGGAACGACCAAAUGAGAUUUCAGACAUUGAC